CAGAAGCUUUGAACCAGAACCUUUUUCGCUAAACCCGAGUUGACUUCUUUCAUCUAAUUCUGUGUAUCAGAUUCCUGAAAAGUCGGCGUUAAAAGAAGUGGAGCAGUCUUCAGAUAACAGCCUUUAGGACUUUACAAAUGAUGUCCCAGAAGCUUUGAACCAGAACCUUUCUCGCUAAACCCGAGUUGACUUCUUUCAUCUAAUUCUGUGUAUCAGAUUCGUGAAAAGUCGGCGUUAAAAGAAGUGGAGCAGUCUUCAGAUAACAGAUUCCUGAAAAGUCGGUGUUAUAAGAAGUGGAGCAGUCUUCAGAUAACAGGGAGCUGCUCCAACCCCUGAUGUCUUCCGUUAUCCUGCUGUGUACCGUCUCCAGCUCGAUCCUGCCCUUCCCGUGACGCAGUGACAAGAACACCCACCAGUUUCCAGCUGCAGUUGUUCUGUGGUUUAAUUCUGAUUUUGCAGCCUAGUCUGGAAUCACCGUGGCAUCUAGACUCCGGUCCAGAGAGAGAGUUGUGAAGGUUAUGAUGGCUAAGGGCCUCUGGGGAGGCUCCAGCUCUCCUGCCACCCGAAAGGAUGUGUCCCUGUGUGGCGCCGAGGGCACUGAGUCAGGAUAAGUUUCCAAUGAUGAAGGUAAGCUGGGGAAGGGGCGCAGCACUUAGCCUGACUCUUGGGGGAGGAGGGGGUGAAUCCUGUAGAAGGAACUGACAGUAGGCAUAACAGACAUCUCAUCAAAUUGGGCCAAGUGAUGAGUUGAAACUUAACUCAUCACGAGGGGAGCGGGGUCCACAGUCCAGUCCUGCCUCAGAUGCCGUCCUUGUGCACCUACCCCAACCACAACUCCACCAAUGCCUCGUUUGGGAUUUUGAAGACUAUUUUCAUGAGUUUGGAGUGACAUUUUAAUUUUUAAUUCUUCCCAAGACACAAACUAAACAGGCAUAGACAGUCGUUUAUUAUAAAAAAAACAACCCCAAAACCCCAUUGCUUAGUUCAGACAUAAGGAGGACAAACUGUACAUCCACAGAAAUUCAUUCUGGAUUGCUAGAUAAGUAUGGUAUUUGUUAAGUGCUUCCUAUUUGUCAA